rnacentral:snoRNA from 1 species
GCCCAAUGAUGAGAACAAGGCGAAUGCGAGCUCAUAGGACAAGAGACUGAGCUCUUCUGUGCUCCUGUUGGCUGGUAAUCUUGGCUGGGCAGGGGAGAUUUGCUGCUUUGCUGUAAGGGCUUGCCUACAUUAAACAAGUUCUUCCUAUCAAGCUUUCCCUCAAAGAAAUGGAGGAGAAAUUUGGGAAGGAUGAUCAUUUUGUUUGUGUGUGGAUGUGGACACAGGUCAAAACUCAAUUCUCUGUAAUGUCCAAUGAGCUGUGAGCUAGUUCUUCUGUAGUCUGAGGGCA